UACGUAGGGGGCAAGCGUUGUCCGGAUUUAUUGAGCGUAAAGAGCGUGUAGGCGGUUUGGUAGGUCCGUUGUGAAAACUCGAGGCUCAACCUCGAGACGUCGGUUGAAACCGUUUGGCUAGAGUCCGGAAGAGGAGAGUGGAAUUCCCGGUGUAGCGGUGAAAUGCGCAGAUAUCGGGAAGAACACCCGUGGCGAAGGCGGCUCUCUGGGACGGUACUGACGCUGAGACGCGAAAGCGUGGGGAGCGAACAGG
rnacentral:rRNA from 1 species